AUUCCUUUUCAUCUUUAU
rnacentral:sRNA from 1 species